rnacentral:rRNA from 1 species
UGCCAUCAGCCGCGGUAAUACGGAGACCUCGAGCGUUACUCGGAUUCACUGGGCGUAAAGGGUGAGUAGGUGGCCAAGUAUGUCAGGUGUGAAAUCCCGGGGCUUAAUCCCGGAACUGCGUCUGAAACUACUUGGCUAGAGUCUCGGAGAGGAUAGUGGAAUUCCAAGUGUAGCGGUGAAAUGCGUAGAUAUCAGAAGGAAUACCAAUGGCGAAGGCAGCUCUCUGGCUCGUCACUGACGCUGAGUUGCGAAAGCGUGGGUAGCAAACAGGAUUAGAUA